rnacentral:sRNA from 1 species
GAGGACCUCAUGGAGUUCCGGCGGGACGCAUCCAUGUUAAAUGACGAGCUGUCCCACAUCAACGCGCGGCUGAACAUGGGCAUCCUAGGCUCCUACGACCCUCAGCAGAUCUUCAAGUGCAAAGGGACCUUUGUGGGUCACCAGGGCCCCGUGUGGUGUCUCUGCGUCUACUCCAUGGGUGACCUGCUUUUCAGCGGCUCCUCUGACAAGACCAUCAAGGUGUGGGACACAUGUACCACCUACAAGUGCCAGAAGACACUGGAGGGCCAUGAUGGCAUCGUGCUGGCUCUCUGCAUCCAGGGGUGCAAACUCUACAGCGGCUCUGCAGACUGCACCAUCAUCGUGAGUGGGGCCUACAGGCGGGUGGGUAGGAGGCGGCCCAGGCCUGCCCCAGUAUGUAGGUGCCCCAGG